rnacentral:rRNA from 1 species
UACGAAGGGGGCUAGCGUUGUUCGGAAUCACUGGGCGUAAAGGGCGCGUAGGCGGCUUUAUAAGUCGGGGGUGAAAGCCUGUGGCUCAACCACAGAAUUGCCUCGAUACUGUAUGGCUUGAGACCGGAAGAGGUAAGUGGAACUGCGAGUGUAGAGGUGAAAUUCGUAGAUAUUCGCAAGAACACCAGUGGCGAAGGCGGCUUACUGGUCCGGUUCUGACGCUGAGGCGCGAAAGCGUGGGGGAGCGAUCCGG